rnacentral:rRNA from 1 species
CAAGUCGAACGGCAGCACGGAGCAAUCCUGGUGGCGAGUGGCGAACGGGUGAGUAAUAUAUCGGAACGUGCCCAGUCGUGGGGAUAACGUAGCGAAAGCUACGCUAAUACCGCAUACGAUCUAUGGAUGAAAGCGGGGGAUCGCAAGACCUCGCGCGAUUGGAGCGGCCGAUAUCAGAUUAGGUAGUUGGGUGAGGUAAAGGCUCACCAAGCCGACGAUCUGUAGCUGGUCUGAGAGGACGACCAGCCACACUGGGACUGAGACACGGCCCAGACUCCUACGGGAGGCAGCAGUGGGGAAUUUUGGACAAUGGGCGCAAGCCUGAUCCAGCAAUGCCGCGUGCAGGAUGAAGGCCUUCGGGUUGUAAACUGCUUUUGUACGGAACGAAACGGUGAGCUCUAAUACAGUUUGCUAAUGACGGUACCGUAAGAAUAAGCACCGGCUAACUACGUG